rnacentral:rRNA from 1 species
UGCAGUCGAGCGGUAACAGAGAGUAGCUUGCUACUUUGCUGACGAGCGGCGGACGGGUGAGUAAUGCUUGGGAAUAUGCCUUUUGGUGGGGGACAACAGUUGGAAACGACUACUAAUACCGCAUGAUGUCUACGGACCAAAGUGGGGGACCUUCGGGCCUCACGCCAAAAGAUUAGCCCAAGUGGGAUUAGCUAGUUGGUAAGGUAAUGGCUUACCAAGGCAACGAUCCCUAGCUGGUUUGAGAGGAUGAUCAGCCACACUGGGACUGAGACACGGCCCAGACUCCUACGGGAGGCAGCAGUGGGGAAUAUUGCACAAUGGGCGCAAGCCUGAUGCAGCCAUGCCGCGUGUGUGAAGAAGGCCUUCGGGUUGUAAAGCACUUUCAGUAAGGAGGAAAGGUUAAGUUUUAAUAGAGCUUAGCUGUGACGUUACUUACAGAAGAAGCACCGGCUAACUCCGUGCCAGCAGCCGCGGUAAUACGGAGGGUGCGAGCGUUAAUCGGAAUUACUGGGCGUAAAGCGUACGCAGGCGGUUUGUUAAGCGAGAUGUGAAAGCCCCGGGCUCAACCUGGGAACUGCAUUUCGAACUGGCAAACUAGAGUGUGAUAGAGGGUGGUAGAAUUUCAGGUGUAGCGGUGAAAUGCGUAGAGAUCUGAAGGAAUACCGAUGGCGAAGGCAGCCACCUGUGUCAACACUGACGCUCAUGUACGAAAGCGUGGGGAGCACACAGGAUUAGAUACCCUGGUAGUCCACGCCGUACACGAUGUCUACUAGAAGCUCGGAACCUCGGUUCUGUUUUUCAGAGCUAACGCAUUAAGUAGACCGCCUGGGGAGUACGGCCGCAAGGUUAAAACUCAAAUGAAUUGACGGGGGCCCGCACAAGCGGUGGAGCAUGUGGUUUAAUUCGAUGCAACGCGAAGAACCUUACCUACACUUGACAUACAGCGAACUUACUAGAAAAAAUUGGUGCCUUCGGGAACUCUGAAACAGGUGCUGCAUGGCUGUCGU